GAUACUGUUAUUUGCAUUCCAGCAGUUCAAGACUGCUUCAUAGAGCCAACUUGGGGGCUGUUUUGCAUGCCUCCGAGACCUUCCCUGCAUGAGUCGGCUACAGUAGAAUGCAUGAACCUUGAAGACUACAAAUUGGAGAACAUGACGAGACAGAUAAUUUUAGAUCGCCAAAGAAACGUCAAAAA